rnacentral:misc_RNA from 1 species
AAGUCGUAACAAGGUUUCCGUAGGUGAACCUGCGGAAGGAUCAUUAUCGUAGGGCGUUUGCGCCCUUCGAGAUAGCACCCUUUGUCUAUGAGUACCUCUUGUUUCCUCGGCGGGCUCGCUCGCCAACGGGGACUACCACCCAACCCAUUGCAGUGAAGAAGUAUACGUCAGUAACAAACAAAAUCUAUUUACAACUUUCAACAACGGAUCUCUUGGUUCUG